rnacentral:lncRNA from 1 species
UCAAGAUGAACUCCUUCCAUGCCAACAAUAAUAGUACUAAACUUUCAAAAGAAGAGAGAUGAGAUCAAGCUUUGAAGUUGGUAGCUGAAAGAAAGCUGUUCGUGAAGGUCAGGCCAGAGCAUAAGGAAGGAAGCUCACUCAGAAGCGAAUUCCGACUACUAUUUUAGAGUACCGAAGCUCAAUGGCAUUGAUCACAUCUACGGCCAGAAGAAAGAAAAUACCUAGCGCCCCG